GAGGGUGUAUCAGCGGUCGAGCGCGUGCCUAGCAUGCACGAGGUCCUGGGUUCAAUCCCCAGCGCCUUCG
rnacentral:tRNA from 1 species